rnacentral:rRNA from 1 species
AGAGUUUGAUCAUGGCUCAGGAUGAACGCUAGCGACAGGCCUAACACAUGCAAGUCGAGGGGCAGCAUGGUAUCAGCUUGCUGAUACCGAUGGCGACCGGCGCACGGGUGAGUAACGCGUAUGUAAUCUGCCUGUAACAGAGGGAUAACCCGGAGAAAUCCGGACUAAUACCUCAUAGCACAUAUUAUUCGCAUGAGUUUUAUGUUAAGGAGACUCGGUUACAGAUGAACAUACGUUCCAUUAGCUGGUUGGCGGGGUCACGGCCCACCAAGGCGACGAUGGAUAGGGGUUCUGAGAGGAAGGUCCCCCACACUGGUACUGAGACACGGACCAGACUCCUACGGGAGGCAGCA